rnacentral:tRNA from 1 species
GGGUCUGUAGCUCAACGGAUCAGAGCGCAUGGUUCCGAACCAUGAAGUCAAGGGUUCGAAUCCCUUCUGACCCA